GAUUGCCAAAACUGUGCUGCCAAGAUGUUGUAACAAAUCUCGCGAUAGGAUAGAUCAUCUCGCGAUAGGAUAGAUUAUCUCGCGAUGGGAUAGAUUAGCUCGCAAUACAAUACAUUAUCUCGCGAGAAAACUUUAACACGUUUUUAUCUUUCCAUAACCAGGAGGAGAGCGCGUCGUUGUGUUACAAAGCUUUACGCGUUGAUUUAUUACAAAAUCACUGGUGGUGGAUGCACAACAUGACACCAUCAGCGUCAACAACAUUCGUGGACCCGUGGACACAUGUUGAGGUGGUCACAUAACGAACAUCUGUCAGGCCAUGUGCCACAACCAAACAAGUAUUGUCUCCAGUCCCAAAUGCUUCAUUGCCAUCCCAGUCCCAGAGGACCCCCAG